AAACCGUUCAGGGGUAAACCUGAGAAACCCAAAAGAUCGAAUGAGGAGAUUCAUCGUCAACGGCCGCUGGCUCCCGUUGGUUCGCGAUGCCCCGCAACGGACCUUCGCGGUUCGUGUAGCGUGCGGGCACGCAACCUUCGGCGAUUGUUUCGGCGUCGUAGUCGUGCACUUCUCCUCUAGUAGAACGUCGCGACCCGUUGUGUGUCGGUCUACGGCCCGAGCGGUAGCCUGUCCCUUCGCCUUGUGCGUUCGCGACAGACCCUCGGUCGCCCGGCCGGCUGCACGACGGUACUCGCACGGUAUCGGGCCGCAACCAAUCCAUUCUCGAAUGUGUGUGCGUCAGGCCCGCCGCAAGCUCGGUCAGUUUACCCGGAGGCACGGACCUUGUGCCGUCCCCGGGCCUGGCCAGCUGUUGGCAGGCGGUGUCCUCGGACUGGCCAAGCUUCGAAUUACCGGUCGGCGACGCUAUUGCUUUGGGUACUCUCAGGACCCGUCUUGAAACACGGACCAAGGAGUCUAACAUGUGCGCGAGUCAUUGGGACAAUUAAACCUAAAGGCGCAAUGAAAGUGAAGGUCGUCCUUCGACCGGUUGACCGAGGGAGGAUGGGCCGCGUAUAAUUAUGCGGCCUCGCACUCCCGGGGCGUCUCGUUCUCGUUUCGAGAAGAGGCGCACCCAGAGCGUACACGUU
rnacentral:rRNA from 1 species